GUGUCAGCAGCCGCGGUAAUACGUAGGUGGCAAGCGUUGUCCGGAUUUACUGGGCGUAAAGGGCUUGUAGGCGGUUCGUUAAGUCCGGUGUGAAAUCUCCCGGCUCAACUGGGAGGGGUCAUCGGAUACUGGCGGACUUGAGGUGGGCAGAGGAAAGCAGAAUUCCCGGUGUAGCGGUGAAAUGCGUAGAUAUCGGGAGGAAUACCAGUGGCGAAGGCGGCUUUCUGGGCCUAUCCUGACGCUGAGGAGCGAAAGCGUGGGGAGCAAACCGGAUUAGAUACCCGGGUAGUCCACGCCCUAAACGGUGGAUGCUAGGUGUAGGGGGUGUCGACCCCCUCUGUGCCGCAGCUAACGCUUUAAGCAUCCCGCCUGGGGAGUACGGCCGCAAGGCUAAA
rnacentral:rRNA from 1 species